rnacentral:rRNA from 1 species
AGCAGCCGCGGUAAUUCCAGCUCCAAUAGCGUAUAUUAAAGUUGUUGCAGUUAAAAAGCUCGUAGUUGAAUUUCGGGGUCAGUAGGUUGGUCGUGCCACCGGUACGUACUGGUCUCACUGAUUCCUCCUUCCUGAUGAGCUGUAAUGCCAUUAAUUUGGUGUUGCAGGGAAUCUGGACUGUUACUUUGAAAAAAUUAGAGUGUUUAAAGCAGGCUAACGCUUGAAUACAUUAGCAUGGAAUAAUGAAAUAGGACGUUCGAUCCUAUUUUGUUGGUUUCUAGGAUUGACGUAAUGAUUAAUAGGGAUAGUUGGGGGCAUUAGUAUUCAAUUGUCAGAGGUGAAAUUCUUGGAUUUAUUGAAGACUAACUACCGCGAAAGCAUUUGCCAAGGAUGUUUUCAUUAAUCAAGAACGAAAGUUAGGGGAUCGAAGACGAUCAGAUACCGUCGUAGUCUUAACCAUAAACUAUGCCGACUAGGGAUCGGAUGAUGUUAAUUUUUUAAUGACUCA